AGUGAACGCUGGCGGUAGGCCUAACACAUGCAAGUCGAACGGCAGCACAGUAAGAGCUUGCUCUUACGGGUGGCGAGUGGCGGACGGGUGAGGAAUACAUCGGAAUCUACUUUUUCGUGGGGGAUAACGUAGGGAAACUUACGCUAAUACCGCAUACGACCUACGGGUGAAAGCAGGGGAUCUUCGGACCUUGCGCGAUUGAAUGAGCCGAUGUCGGAUUAGCUAGUUGGCGGGGUAAAGGCCCACCAAGGCGACGAUCCGUAGCUUGUCUGAGAGGAUGAUCGGCCACACUGGAGGUGAGACACGGUCCAGACUCCUACGGGAGGCAGCAGUGGGGAAUAUUGGACAGUGGGCGCAAGCCUGAUCCAGCCAUACCACGUGGGUGAAGAAGACGUUCGGGUUGUGAAGCCCUUUUGUUGGGAAAGAAAAGCAGCAGGUUAAUACCCAGCUGUUCUGACGGUACCCAAAGAAUAAGCACCGGCUAACUUCGCG
rnacentral:rRNA from 1 species